UGACAAGAAAUAAUUGGCUUGUGAGAAUCAACAUUGAAGCUGGAAAAAUGAUGGCAUCCGAACAAGUAGACACAGCCCUAGUCAAGGCAAUAAACUACACUAAAGACAGAGGAGAAAGACUCAAAGUUGUUCUAACAUACCACAGCAAGGUAAUCUUACAGCCCAGGACUCAGCUGCUGCAAUCUCUGUGAAAGGUACUUAUGACUAAUGCUGAUGCCACCAUGAAGCUCAGGAAACAAUUUACAGGGACAUGGGCUGUUCUGAGACCCCACAGCCAUGAAUCGCCUAAUCAUUCUGACAGAUUUCUGCAGAUGCUGUGCUCAGGUCACUGAGUUUCCCAGUUGUCAGUGGUGAACUGGAGCGGAGGCAGAAGGAAACUCUUCAGACACACUGUUCCCUUCAGGAAACAAGGGACAAAAGGGCUGCCCUGAGGAGACUUGGGAAAGUGACAUUUCCUCAGGCUCGAGGACAUCCCGAGGUUCUGCUCAUGAAACAGAGACAACCAUGUGUGGUGCCUGCAUUCUUGGCCUGCGGGGAGUGGAAAGGAGACAAAGAGUAAAACACGGUGGGAAAGAAGAAAAAGAGGUUAAGAAAAGCAAAUGUGCCUACUCCAGGUAAUUUUGACUUAGGGACCCUGAUUAACUUACACACUAAUUAAACCAUUUCCAGAUUUUGUGCAGUCUGAAAGCAGCCCAUUUUCCCCAACACCAGGUCGCUCAAGAUGACCACAGGAAGGUUGUCAUCUUCAUGUCUAAAAGCCAGUUGACACUCAAGGGUGUCAUUUCACUUCAGUGAAAUGAGAAGCUUCACAGAUGUGUAGACUCUGAAAAAUCUAACUGGAAAACAAUACAGGGAAAUAGCAAUACUAGGCAUCAAAGCAGCAAAAAAACUACUCAAUUAUCUGAUAUGGGGAUUAUCAAUGGAAUAAAUGUGGGGUUUGUUGUUUGUUGUUGGGAUUGUUGUGGGUUUUGUUUCAUUUUUUAGGGUCUCACUUUUCUCCACCAAUUAGAUCUGUGCUGUGAGCCACACAGGUUUUGAGUACAUGUUUUGGGACUUUAUAUCGGUCAGACUUUGCCAUGGUAACACUGUGUAACGAGCAGCCCCAAAAAUCUCAGUGGUGGUCAAAAGCAAACCUUUAUUUCUCAUUCAUGGGUUUUCAGUUUGUUCAGGCUAAAAGUAAAAUACACAGAUUCUUCACCUGUCUUUCAUUCCAUGCUGAAGGAGCAAUUGACUGCCUGGGACAUACUUUUCUCAUAACAGAGGCAAGGGUGAAAAACACCAAGUCAUCUUGAUUAUGCAAUCCCAUUUUUAAUGUAAACAAUGUCAUGUCUGCUUCUAUUUCAUUGAGCAAAGCAAGUCAUAUAGGCAAGCCCAACAUCAGUGGGGUGAUAAAGCACACUCUCCAAUGGAAGGAGGAGGGGAGCAUGAUCAUUUGCUGAACAGUAAUGCAAGAUAGCACAAGACUUGUCUGGGGUGAGAGAGAGAUCAAAGCUGUGGAUCCCACCCAGUCUUCAACCAAAGCAAUGUGGCUUUGACCUGU
rnacentral:lncRNA from 1 species